rnacentral:rRNA from 1 species
CAGUCGCCACGGUAACACGUAGGUGGCGAGCGUUGUCCGGAAUUAUUGGGCGUAAAGGGAGCGCAGGCGGACAUAUAAGUCCAUCUUAAAAGUGCGGGGCUCAACCCCGUGAGGGGAUGGAAACUGUAUGCCUUGAGUGCAGGAGAGGAAAGCGGAAUUCCCAGUGUAGCGGUGAAAUGCGUAGAUAUUGGGAGGAACACCAGUGGCGAAGGCGGCUUUCUGGACUGUAACUGACGCUGAGGCUCGAAAGCCAGGGGAGCGAACGGGAUUACAGACCCCAGUAGUCCCUGUCUCUUAUACA